GUUCUAGAAUUGCACAAACUUCAGUCCCUAUUUAUGACACUUAUCAAUUUCACGCGCAUUCGCUCUAAAUUUCCUACUCCUUCAGUUUAGAACUCGUCUUUCUUUUCCUUUUCAGUUUCCAUCUUUGGAGUUUUCACCCUAAAUUACCGAUGGAUUUCGAUCAACAUCAAUCGAAAAAUGUGGUCCCGGAAGCCAAAGGAUUCAACCCAGGAUUGAUUGUGUUGCUUGUUGUUGGUGGGCUAGUGUUGGCAUUCCUUGUUGGCAAUUAUGCGCUCUACAUGUAUGCACAAAAAACACUUCCUCCGAAGAGAAAGAAGCCCAUCUCGAAGAAGAAGAUGAAGAGGGAAAAAUUGAAGCAAGGCGUAUCAGCACCAGGCGAGUAGAGCAUUUAGUGAUGGUGCUGAUGUAUGCCUGUUGUUGAUUGCCUGUUGUUGAUGACUUUUUAUCUUGAUAGCCUCUUUUCACUCUUCCAUCAUACAACUUCACCUUUAUAUUUAGAACCUAAGACUGUUGUUUAUUUGUUCCUCGUAAUUUGUGUGGAAGCAAGCAUGUUAAAAAGGCUUUGACAAAUCAAAAUAGGCCAUUUUUAUCCUCACUAA